GAGGUCGGUAUGAGUGCCUGUCUGCUCUGUACUCUACCUCCCUCUGGGACAUUUGUGCCUGUGUGCUGGAGCAAGGAACCCUGCCCUUGGUCACAGUGUGCCAGUGUGGUGUUCAGCACUGAAAACAGAAAUGUAACAUAUCAUAAAUCGAGCAAAUUCCAGAUAAAGGGGAAUUUCUACAAAGGAAACAUGUCCCUAACCAUAGAGAAUGUGACGCGAUCCGGCCAAGGAACCUAUUGCUGCAGGAUACAAUUCCCUGGUUCAGUGAAUGAUAAAAAAUUAGAAGUGAAAUUAGGCAUC
rnacentral:lncRNA from 1 species